rnacentral:rRNA from 1 species
AGUGAACGCUGGCGGCAGGCCUAACACAUGCAAGUCGAACGGAAGCACAGUAAGAGUUUGCUCUUACGGGUGGCGAGUGGCGGACGGGUGAGGAAUACAUCGGAAUCUACUUUUUCGUGGGGGAUAACGUAGGGAAACUUACGCUAAUACCGCAUACGACCUACGGGUGAAAGCAGGGGAUCUUCGCACCUUGCGCGAUUGAAUGAGCCGAUGUCGGAUUAGCUAGUUGGCGGGGUAAAGGCCCACCAAGGCGACGAUCCGUAGCUGGUCUGAGAGGAUGAUCAGCCACACUGGAACUGAGACACGGUCCAGACUCCUACGGGAGGCAGCAGUGGGGAAUAUUGGACAAUGGGCGCAAGCCUGAUCCAGCCAUACCGCGUGGGUGAAGAAGGCCUUCGGGUUGUAAAGCCCUUUUGUUGGGAAAGAAAAGCAGCAGGUUAAUACCCCGCUGUUCUGACGGUACCCAAAGAAUAAGCACCGGCUAACUUCGUG